GGGUUGUGAGGUUAAGCGACUAAGCGUACACGGUGGAUGCCCUGGCAGUCAGAGGCGAUGAAGGACGUGCUAAUCUGCGAUAAGCGUCGGUAAGGUGAUAUGAACCGUUAUAACCGGCGAUUUCCGAAUGGGGAAACCCAGUGUGAUUCGUCACACUAUCAUUACGUGAAUACAUAGCGUAAUGAAGCGAACCGGGGGAACUGAAACAUCUAAGUACCCCGAGGAAAAGAAAUCAACCGAGAUUCCCCCAGUAGCGGCGAGCGAACGGGGAGCAGCCCAGAGUCUGAAUCAGCUUGUGUGUUAGUGGAACGGUCUGGAAAGUCCGACGGUACAGGGUGAUAGUCCCGUACACCAAAAUGCACAGGUUGUGAACUCGAAGAGUAGGGCGGGACACGUGGUAUCCUGUCUGAAUAUGGGGGGACCAUCCUCCAAGGCUAAAUACUCCUGACUGACCGAUAGUGAACCAGUACCGUGAGGGAAAGGCGAAAAGAACCCCGGCGAGGGGAGUGAAAAAGAACCUGAAACCGUGUACGUACAAGCAGUGGGAGCCUCUUUAUGGGGUGACUGCGUACCUUUUGUAUAAUGGGUCAGCGACUUAUAUUCUGUAGCAAGGUUAACCGUAUAGGGGAGCCGAAGGGAAACCGAGUCUUAACUGGGCGUUAAGUUGCAGGGUAUAGACCCGAAACCCGGUGAUCUAGCCAUGGGCAGGUUGAAGGUUGGGUAACACUAACUGGAGGACCGAACCGACUAAUGUUGAAAAAUUAGCGGAUGACUUGUGGCUGGGGGUGAAAGGCCAAUCAAACCGGGAGAUAGCUGGUUCUCCCCGAAAGCUAUUUAGGUAGCGCCUCGUGAACUCAUCUUCGGGGGUAGAGCACUGUUUCGGCUAGGGGGUCAUCCCGACUUACCAACCCGAUGCAAACUGCGAAUACCGAAGAAUGUUAUCACGGGAGACACACGGCGGGUGCUAACGUCCGUCGUGAAGAGGGAAACAACCCAGACCGCCAGCUAAGGUCCCAAAGUCAUGGUUAAGUGGGAAACGAUGUGGGAAGGCACAGACAGCCAGGAUGUUGGCUUAGAAGCAGCCAUCAUUUAAAGAAAGCGUAAUAGCUCACUGGUCGAGUCGGCCUGCGCGGAAGAUGUAACGGGGCUAAACCAUGCACCGAAGCUGCGGCAGCGACACUAUGUGUUGUUGGGUAGGGGAGCGUUCUGUAAGCCGUUGAAGGUGUAUCGUGAGGUAUGCUGGAGGUAUCAGAAGUGCGAAUGCUGACAUAAGUAACGAUAAUGCGGGUGAAAAACCCGCACGCCGGAAGACCAAGGGUUCCUGUCCAACGUUAAUCGGGGCAGGGUGAGUCGACCCCUAAGGCGAGGCCGAAAGGCGUAGUCGAUGGGAAACAGGUUAAUAUUCCUGUACUUGGUGUUACUGCGAAGGGGGGACGGAGAAGGCUAUGUUAGCCGGGCGACGGUUGUCCCGGUUUAAGCAUGUAGGCGGAGGUUCCAGGUAAAUCCGGUACCUUUUAACGCUGAGGUGUGAUGACGAGGCACUACGGUGCUGAAGUAACAAAUGCCCUGCUUCCAGGAAAAGCCUCUAAGCAUCAGGUAACACGAAAUCGUACCCCAAACCGACACAGGUGGUCAGGUAGAGAAUACCAAGGCGCUUGAGAGAACUCGGGUGAAGGAACUAGGCAAAAUGGUGCCGUAACUUCGGGAGAAGGCACGCUGAUAUGUAGGUGAAGCGGUUUACCCGUGGAGCUGAAAUCAGUCGAAGAUACCAGCUGGCUGCAACUGUUUAUUAAAAACACAGCACUGUGCAAACACGAAAGUGGACGUAUACGGUGUGACGCCUGCCCGGUGCCGGAAGGUUAAUUGAUGGGGUUAUCCGUAAGGAGAAGCUCUUGAUCGAAGCCCCGGUAAACGGCGGCCGUAACUAUAACGGUCCUAAGGUAGCGAAAUUCCUUGUCGGGUAAGUUCCGACCUGCACGAAUGGCGUAAUGAUGGCCAGGCUGUCUCCACCCGAGACUCAGUGAAAUUGAACUCGCUGUGAAGAUGCAGUGUACCCGCGGCAAGACGGAAAGACCCCGUGAACCUUUACUAUAGCUUGACACUGAACACUGGUCCUUGAUGUGUAGGAUAGGUGGGAGGCUUUGAAGUGUGGACGCCAGUCUGCAUGGAGCCAUCCUUGAAAUACCACCCUUUAAUGGCUGGUGUUCUAACGUGGACCCGUGAUCCGGGUUGCGGACAGUGUCUGGUGGGUAGUUUGACUGGGGCGGUCUCCUCCUAAAGAGUAACGGAGGAGCACGAAGGUUAGCUAAUCCUGGUCGGACAUCAGGAGGUUAGUGCAAAGGCAUAAGCUAGCUUGACUGCGAGAGUGACGGCUCGAGCAGGUGCGAAAGCAGGUCUUAGUGAUCCGGUGGUUCUGAAUGGAAGGGCCAUCGCUCAACGGAUAAAAGGUACUCCGGGGAUAACAGGCUGAUACCGCCCAAGAGUUCAUAUCGACGGCGGUGUUUGGCACCUCGAUGUCGGCUCAUCACAUCCUGGGGCUGAAGUAGGUCCCAAGGGUAUGGCUGUUCGCCAUUUAAAGUGGUACGCGAGCUGGGUUUAGAACGUCGUGAGACAGUUCGGUCCCUAUCUGCCGUGGGCGCUGGAGAAUUGAGGGGGGCUGCUCCUAGUACGAGAGGACCGGAGUGGACGCAUCACUGGUGUUCGGGUUGUCAUGCCAAUGGCAUUGCCCGGUAGCUAAAUGCGGAAGAGAUAAGUGCUGAAAGCAUCUAAGCACGAAACUUGCCCCGAGAUGAGUUCUCCCUGAGACUUUAAGUCUCCUGAAGGAACGUUAAAGACGAUGACGUUGAUAGGUCGGGUGUGUAAGUGUAGCGAUACAUUGAGCUAACCGAUACUAAUGAACCGUGAGGCUUAACCUUACAACGCCGAAGGUGUUU
rnacentral:rRNA from 1 species